rnacentral:lncRNA from 1 species
CGCCGGCCGGCGCGCGGCGGCGGCCCCUUCCCUUUCCUCAACCAAAGCUCGAGCUCCAGCAACCGGUCGACAGCAAGCACCCAACAGCUACCGCUCUCGACGAGCUCGACGGAGCCUCCUCUCUCACCGCACGCCGUUCGUGCAGCACAAGAGCCCACUCCGGCAAGCAGUGAGCACCACAAGAUUGCUGUUGCUCCAGCCUCCAUCAUGAUCCAAGCAAGGGCAGGAAGCAUUGGAGAACAAAGAAGAUUAGUUCAACUUCAGUUCUUUGCGGAUGCAAUUUUUCAAGUUUCCAGCUUUCCACUGUUGUUGCAGAAGCAAGCUAGAAUCAAGUGGUUUAGAUUUGCUUUCAAGAACGUGUGUUGUAUUUUAUUUUAUUAUCGUUUGGAUCUGAGCGAUGAUAGAAUCAGUUCAUCAGCACAUCUGAAGUGUCCAUCAUAUGUUUGUGAGAGGAAUAUUUUCAGCUCCAUUGUCGUAGAAUCAAUGUAAUUGAGUAUUUUCUAUUAAUAAUAGAAUGGCAU